rnacentral:rRNA from 1 species
UCGGGAAUUUUGGGCAAUGGGCGAAAGCCUGACCCAGCAACGCCGCGUGAAGGAUGAAGUAUUUCGGUAUGUAAACUUCGAAAGAAUAGGAGGAAUAAAUGACGGUACUAUUUAUAAGGUCCGGCUAACUACGUGCCAGCAGCCGCGGUAAUACGUAGGGACCAAGCGUUGUUCGGAUUUACUGGGCGUAAAGGGCGCGUAGGCGGCAAUUCAAGUCAUCUGUGAAAUCUCCGGGCUUAACUCGGAACGGUCAGAUGAUACUGCUUUGCUAGAGUGCAGAAGGGGCAAUCGGAAUUCUUGGUGUAGCGGUGAAAUGCGUAGAUAUCAAGAGGAACACCUGAGGUGAAGACGGGUUGCUGGGCUGACACUGACGCUGAGGCGCGAAAGCCAGGGGAGCAAACGGGAUUAGAUACCCCGGUAGUCCCUGAGCGGGCUGGCAAGGCGCAU